GACGAACGCUGGCGGCGUGCCUAAUACAUGCAAGUCGAGCGGAUCUUCAUUAGCUUGCUUUUGAAGAUCAGCGGCGGACGGGUGAGUAACACGUGGGCAACCUGCCUGUAAGACUGGGAUAACUUCGGGAAACCGGAGCUAAUACCGGAUAAUCCUUUUCCUCUCAUGAGGAAAAGCUGAAAGACGGUUUCGGCUGUCACUUACAGAUGGGCCCGCGGCGCAUUAGCUAGUUGGUGAGGUAACGGCUCACCAAGGCGACGAUGCGUAGCCGACCUGAGAGGGUGAUCGGCCGCACUGGGACUGAGACACGGCCCAGACUCCUACGGGAGGCAGCAGUAGGGAAUCUUCCGCAAUGGACGAAAGUCUGACGGAGCAACGCCGCGUGAGCGAUGAAGGCCUUCGGGUCGUAAAGCUCUGUUGUCAGGGAAGAACAAGUACCGGAGUAACUGCCGGUACCUUGACGGUACCUGACCAGAAAGCCACGGCUAACUACGUGCCAGCCGCCGCCGUAAAAC
rnacentral:rRNA from 1 species